GACGACUCUCGGCAACGGAUAUCUAGGCUCUCGCAUCGAUGAAGAACGUAGCGAAAUGCGAUACCUGGUGUGAAUUGCAGAAUCCCGCGAACCAUCGAGUCUUUGAACGCAAGUUGCGCCCGAGGCCAUCCGGCCGAGGGCACGCCUGCCUGGGCGUCACGNNN
rnacentral:rRNA from 1 species